ACUCUGGUGGGGCUGUUCAUUCCUCCAUCCUUCCACCCAGCGUCUGUUCUUCGUUCAUAUACUCCUGGUACCGGGUGGUGGUCAGUGAUCACUCGAUGCUCGCCAGGGCUCCGCUCUAUCCUCGGUGUGGUUCCAGCCAGCUGUGCAACACAAUAGGAGCUUCACAGCAUCCCAGUCUGGGAGCUCAGCCCUUAAAGGCACAGCCCCUGACAGCACAAUCCUACACCCUGUGUUAUACAGGAAGUCAGACUAGAAACUAUGAGUCCAAGUGGAAUUUAUCUCCGAACAACUGACACUUCUACUAUUAUAGUAUUAUGGGUGUGUCACUUUCAGUAAGUCAGAGGCCAAAGGUCCCUCUGGCACAGAUAACCAGCGUACUCCCUGGGCAACCCGCCCCCCCCCCCCCCCCCCACACACACCACCACACAGCUCAGCUACGAGCAGGAAACAGCUACAGCCAGGAGAGGAAGCACCUACAGGAAGUGCAGAGCUGAACUGCAAGAGUUUCCCCAGUGCCUCAGGAGGGCUCAGCCCUGCCAGGAGCCACCUGGGCCCCGUGGGGAUGGCUGGCGCAACCCAGGGUGGGGCCCGAGGGCCAGGAGAAAUGGAAGAGGAACAGGCUGAGUCUCAUACAGUCGCCCAGGAGUUCCUGAACUGGUUCUUACGGCGCCAUGUGUAUCCCGAGCAAAGGGAACACCGGAGAAGGGAGCAGGAGUGCCAGCAGGUGCAAGCUCUGGUCAGGAGGAUCAUGGCUCGGGUGCAUCAGUGGAAUACGCUGUUGUUCACGGGGGAAGCCAUCCUGGUGGGCUGCCAAGCCCAGGACCUCCACGUCCGGGCAGAGUCCAGCAGCAGCGACUACGACUUCCUGGCCCCCAUCCAGUACAACACGAACGUGAUCCUGCUGGGUACCCUGUACAGUGCGCCGUGCACAGAGCUCCACUUCCUGCCUUCCUGGCUGAGCCUGAGGUCUGGCGUGCCGGUGUACCGCUGGGAGAACAAGCUGGUGGUGGAUUACAACAAGGUGACACUGAGAAAGAUCUUGGAUGAGAAGGCUGUAGACUUCGGCAGGAAGGAUCUAGGCUUGGACCUCACGGAGGAAGACAUCAAAGAAAUAAAUGGCCGACAGAAGGAUCUUUGGACGGGCGGCAUCGAUCCAUUUCUGGUAGCUAGAAAGUUCCAUGAAUUUGUCGAGAAUGCUCUGGCUGAGGAAGGAAGCAGCCCUGCUCCCGGAAUUAGCAACAUUAGACUGAGCGACUUUGCAAAAUGCUCUGCCGUGCAGCUCAGCCUGGAGGUGGACGGCCAAGCUGUGUCUAUAGACCUGGUACCCACCAUCCGGAAUAAAGUGGACAUGUCUAUGGAUUGGCCAAGGCAGGAUCUCAGGUGGCUUUCCGACUGGUGGGACCAGGAGCAAGGCACUGAGCGGAUCAAACCCACCUGGAAUAUCAUGGAAAUUUACAAAACUGGGGCCGAUCUGGUGGCCAAGAAUCUGUACUGGAGGCUCUCCUAUUCCCUGGCUGAGACCCGACUCCUCAGGGACAUUGACCUCGAUGGUGCUGGGUGGAGGCGGGAGGCGCUGCAGCUGCUUAAGCAAAUCAACAUGGAGAAAUGGGUACCGCGCUAUGGCAAAGUCCUGACCUCCUACCACCUGAAGGUGCCCAUGCGCCCCAGAUGCCUUUGUUGGGAGAAUUUUGGUAGCGGUGCCCAUUCCGCCCAAGCACGCCCUCCAGACAUCCUCGUGCCCCAUACCGAGGAUAUAGAGAGAUUUUCCUGACAUGAGGGUUUCCAGAAGUGGACUUCUCUCCGACCACCACCAACAGAAAGUGUAAGAAAAUCUGUUCGAGAGGAGGUCUGGAUUAUCAAUCCUUGGGAGACGCCUUCCUCAUUCCUUGGACAAGAGCUCUUCUUCAUGCAUAUCCUCUGACACCAUUGAUUCGGAACAAGAUCAAACGAGACAGAGACGGAGUCACUCUAGCUGCACCAACUCGCUCGAGCCAGAUGGUCCUGUUUUGGGCAUCUGACCUCAACCCAGAGACCAAGAACUGGGCCACGGUGCUGGAUGCUCUGGGGACCCUGCUGAAGGUGCUGGAGUUCAGCCUGGAGAAGAAACAGCUGCCCAG